rnacentral:tRNA from 1 species
GCCUGGGUGGCUCAGUCAGUUAAGUGUCUGACUUUGGCUCAGGUCAUGAUCUCACAGUCUGUGAGUUCGAGCCCCACAUCAGGCU